UACGUAGGGAGCGAGCGUUGUCCGGAAUGACUGGGUGUAAAGGGAGCGUAGGCGGGAUGGCAAGUCAGAUGUGAAACCUGAGGGCUCAACCUUCAGACUGCAUUUGAAACUGCUGUUCUUGAGUGAAGUAGAGGUAAGCGGAAUUCCUGGUGUAGCGGUGAAAUGCGUAGAGAUCAGGAGGAACAUCGGUGGCGAAAGCGGCUUACUGGGCUUUUACUGACGCUGAGGCUCGAAAGCGUGGGGAGCAAACAGG
rnacentral:rRNA from 1 species